rnacentral:rRNA from 1 species
UGAUUAAUAGGGACAGUCGGGGGCAUCAGUAUUCAGUUGUCAGAGGUGAAAUUCUUGGAUCUACUGAAGACUAACUACUGCGAAAGCAUUUGCCAAGGAUGUUUUCAUUGAUAAGGAACGAAAGUUAGGGGAUCGAAGACGAUCAGAUACCGUCGUAGUCUUAACUAUAAACUAUGCCGACUAGGGAUCGGACGAUGUUAUUAUUUGACGCGUUCGGCACCUUUCGAGAAAUCAAAGUGCUUGGGCUCCAGGGGGAGUAUGGUCGCAAGGCUGAAACUUAAAGAAAUUGACGGAAGGGCACCACCAGGGGUGGAACCUGCGGCUUAAUUUGACUCAACACGGGGAAACUCACCAGGUCCAGACACAGUGAGGAUUGACAGAUUGAGAGCUCUUUCUUGAUUCUGUGGGUGGUGGUGCAUGGCCGUUCUUAGUUGGUGGAGUGAUUUGUCUGCUUAAUUGCGAUAACGAACGAGACCUUAACCUGCUAAAUAGCCCGUACUGCUUUGGCAGUUCGCCGGCUUCUUAGAGGGACUAUCGGCUCAAGCCGAUGGAAGUUUGAGGCAAUAACAGGUCUGUGAUGCCCUUAGAUGUCCUGGGCCGCACGCGCGUUACACUGACAGAGCCAGCGAGUACCUCCUUGACCGGAAGGUCCGGGUAAUCUUGUUAAACUCUGUCGUGC